rnacentral:rRNA from 1 species
CCAGCUGUAAACUCUGGGUACUAGGUGUGGGGGGCUUCGAUGCCCUCUGUGCCGUAGUUAACGCAUUAAGUACCCCGCCUGGGGAGUACGAUCGCAAGGUUGAAACUCAAAGGAAUUGACGGGGGCCCGCACAAGCAGUGGAGUAUGUGGUUUAAUUCGAAGCAACGCGAAGAACCUUACCAGGGCUUGACAUCCUCGGACGACACUAGAGAUAGUGUUUUCUCUUCGGAGACUGAGAGACAGGUGG